UACGUAGGGUGCGAGCGUUAAUCGGAAUUACUGGGCGUAAAGCGCGCGCAGGCGGUCCUUUAAGUCUGAUGUGAAAGCCCUCGGCUCAACCGAGGAGGGUCAUUGGAAACUGGAGGACUUGAGUGCAGAAGAGGAAAGUGGAAUUCCAAGUGUAGCGGUGAAAUGCGUAGAGAUUUGGAGGAACACCAGUGGCGAAGGCGACUUUCUGGUCUGUAACUGACGCUGAGGCGCGAAAGCGUGGGGAGCAAACAGG
rnacentral:rRNA from 1 species